ACAAGGUAGGGGAAUGUGUUAUGACAGCGGUUGCAGAACUACAAACGAUUUAACACCAUCCUUAACAAGCUGUAUCAGUCAGUCAGUGAAUGAGCAGUACAAAACACUGACAUAUUUAGCAUAUGCAACCUGAGACGGCCAUAACCAGCUGCCAGAGACCUGGGACAAAUAACAGCUGCUCACCAAGAGGUGCAACUUGUCCUGGAUUCAUUCAUUAUUAUUAUCUCUAUUUCUCUCCAUGCUGUCACACACAGCGGGCACGUGGCUGUCUGCUGCCGCCAGACUCGCCUUUCACUUCCACUUCAUUGCACAUCUGACCCAAUUCUGCACGCGCUGAACCGGCUCACACGACCCAGAUGAGUUGUUUUCACCUGACCACAUAUACUGUAACCGCACCCUGAGGUCCAUAUGAGGUGUUGGUGCAGGUUGCCCUGGAUUUACAGAGGAAUGCAGGGCGUUGUUUCGACAUGAAAAAUGUGUUUUGUAGGUCACUGACAUUGUGAAUAAAUUACUUGAGAUUGUUUAAGUGAAGCAGCAAAUGCUUCAUGUCAAAUUUCCUUAGUUCCCUCAUCUCCUUCAGUGGGUCUUUUUUUUCAUCCAGGUGUGCAGGAUUCUUUUCAGUCUCUAUCAAAGUAGCUGUAAACAUUAGCAGUGCUCACUCAUCGCAUGAUAACGCCCCGAAAGCUCAUUUAUACUCGCUAAUCUUGUUUCCAUAACAAAAGAGCCACGUUGCUUAAGCAGAAAAACGGAUCAUACUCUAAGACGAUCCUCGGACACCUGGGUCAUUGUCACCUCCCCGACCUGUCCGUUCUCUUUUCAUCCAUCUCCAUCUCACCUACUGUACAGCAUCCAACCUCUGCUGUUUUUAAUUCUGCUUUUGUGAACCCAGAUGUGCAACUACUUUGUCAAUGUAAAGAAAACCUUUAUGUCUUACACCUCAAGUUAAGGUUGCUCUAAUAUUGUUCAGUGCUUUUAAAUCAUCUCCAGCUGUAGCAUUACAUUUUAGCACUAAAAUCUGAAAUGUCUGCCAAGUUUGUGGAGAAAUUUGAGGCAGAAAUUUGCAGAUAUUUGACUUCUGUCCACCCUAUUUGCAUCCAUGAAAAUUCCCCAGAAGCGCAAACAAAAGAGAAAGCCUCUCAGUGACACAGAGAGACUGUAAAUUGCUGCAGAAACCACAAAGUGCCUGUUCUCUGAGCACACAUCCCUCAACAAUAAUGUCUUCCCUGUGGUCUCUUUGGUUUCGAGCCAGAGAGGACACAGCGGCCAGGGUCGCGCCAUGCACACGCGCUGCCCAGCUGACCAAUUGGAAAACAGUACCGCUUCAAAAAGCCUGGGAGACAGAGGUUGCGGGGCACCUUGGUAACCAUGGUGACCGGGGCUUCGUCACGGCUCAGAUGGAGGACUGUGACGCGCGGCGCGUGCUAAUGAGGACCACCAACCAAUGAAGUAAAGUCAAAAGACCGGUGAAGGGCAGGUGCGCCGCGACGUCACAGCGGAACUAUGGCGGCCGGCGGAAACACGAGUGAAAAUGUCGAGUAAAAAUAUGUCAACUGUUACAGAAACACUAAUUGGUUGGUGAAAGGUUGUACUACGUGAACGGAAGUGGCCGAGCUGACCACUACAGACACACGCUUCGUCACUAAGAGACCUAUAAAAGACAAAGGGGCUGUCUACUGUAAGCCCGUUUCCCUGAUCUGAAUUAAACCUGCUCCAGUGGGAUCCUUCCUGACGUAUUUCACCGGAACCUCCAGGGCCCUUCUGGUGCACUUACAUAAGUUCUGAAUGAGGCUGGGGCUGCGCUCACCGUCCCGGUCCCCUUCCAUCAUGGCUAAGUUAAGACUCACCGACCCUGGGGAUGUGUUAACACUACGGUGGAGCCGGUGUUAUGUCAGACAAAAUUCAGAGAGGGAAACUAGGCUUCUUGGAUAUACUGUAUAUUGCUCUGUGACAGGGUGUGUGAAAGUUUAGUUUUUAGGUUUGCUUGGAAAUGUUUAUACCAGGAUGAAAUAUUUCACAUUUUAAAAGAGAAAAACAACUACAGCAAAGUCACCAUGACUAGGCUGAUUUCUAACAGUAAACUUUAGAGAUUAUUAAGCAAUACUGACUCUAACAAAUGUUAAAUUCAGACAACAAAACUUAGAUUUACAUGGAAUAAUGAUACAUGAAUAAAGAAUCGUAAACUACACAUAGUUUAAACCAUUUAUUUUGUGCUGACAUGAAGGUAUUUUUCAUCACAGAAAAAAAGAAUAAUCUACAAGACUGACUCAUCACUACAUACAGACACUCGACUGCUGUUUGGGAAAUAUUAAAAAAAGGUUUAUGUACAAGUGAGGAGAUGAUGGUGUCUGUCGGUGCCUGGGGAGAUGUCAGACCUGCUCGCCGAGAUCCAAAACUCGAAACUUGUCUAGAUUGUAGAAGCAGGCCUUGACGACUC